rnacentral:lncRNA from 1 species
AAGGAAUCAAGAGUAAGGAAUCAAGGAUUUGAUGAUCUUUAUAUUCGAUGAAUAACAAUUUAAAAAACGACUACAAUGAUUUUUCGCAAAGCUCUUUGAGCAAUAACUCCAUGCGCUGCGGCUGCUGAUUUCUACGACUAGCAAGGUCUAGAAGCAACCCUCUCUCCCUCUCUAUGGCUAGAUUUGGUAACUACUAUGUAGUAUAGAAAAAAAAUCAUUAAGAAGAAAAUAAUUCUAGAAAGAAGAAGGCAGAGAAGGCCUAGGCCGGUACUUGCUAUUCCUCUCCUUCCAGGGGUACCAAAAGCUUUCAUACAGAAAGCUUUUCGCGGCCUCUUCCUAAUCUCCUAUUGGUCAGAGUGUGGAGGAGUAUUGCUAUGACUAAGAAUCAGAGAAUCUUCCAGAAGAUUCCAGAACGACUCAUAGAUGGCAAUACUAACAGAAACCAAAGAAAUUAUAAGAUGUAAAUACAUGACGUCAUCCCUAACUCUCUCAGUAGCUGUUAGAGUCAUCUAUACGUAGAAUCAGGCAUUUAGUAAAAAGAACAGCGACAUCUACGAGUCACUUUAGAAAUUAUUUUCAUAUAGGAAUGUAAUGUGACAAUCAAAUUACUUUAUUAAUCCAUUUGAAAUAUCGUUUAAAAUAUGAAAGUAGUCCAAAUUGAAUAUUAAGGAUUUUAUUGAGAGAAUAAAUAUAGUUUGAUGCAUAU